rnacentral:tRNA from 1 species
GUCCCCAUCGUCUAGAGGCCUAGGACACCACUCUUUCACAGUGGAGACACGGGUUCGAACCCCGUUGGGGACGCCA